AUUCAACCACAUUUCCAUUCAGCUUCACCAUUUCUCUAAAUUGAUACAAAAUCGAGGUGAAUCUGAUCGAGUAUGGUGAGUUCAUUUCAGAUUUUUGUCAUUUUUCAGGGUUCAGUUCAGGCAGGGAGACGCACCGGCGAGCAUCGGCGGGAUCCCUUCGCCGCCCACUAUGCCCUGGUCCCAUCCUUUGAUCACCUGAAGAAUUAUCAGUGAAUAUGCAAUAAUCUGUUAGUGUGCUUGAUUGAUUGAUCGUGUUUACCUCGCCGACGCCGACGCGGAAGGUGAGCGGCUUCCCGCGCUUGUAGCUGCUGUCGAACACCGUGCCGUCCUCCAGCCUCCCGGUGUAAUGCGCCU